AGGUCUACAAAUUGAAGAGCUAUCUAAUUAGUCCUGAUUUUCAAAAAUUGAUUUUCAGCAAUAUUGCUAGCUUUUCUAUUGUUCUGUUGUUUGCCAUACAGGACGAUACAUGAGAAGCUAGCCGCCGUUACUGAUCUGCUUAUGAAAAUGAUGUCAGGGAAAUCCUAGAUUCGGUCAUUGAGUGGAAACAAGAAAGACUUGAAGAUCCUAACUCGAGGAGGAGAGAUGCUAGAACUUCGUUAUGCCAACGGACAGCCGGAAACCAUUUGCUAUGUCCGGUUCUGCUAGUCAGGAUCAAACAUACCAUCAGCGCACUUGUCUUCUCAAAAGGGUGGCGGCGGACUUCCUGAAUGAGGGCGUGGGACUUGUUGUGGAACUUUGGGAAGCUGACAUGAAUGCGAGUUCUACAGAAGCCCGCAGACAAGGGUUAGUGGGGAUUUGCUGCUGUAAGGCGAUAUCGGCUGCCAUUCGUGAACACCUUGCCAUUAGGUUGGGUGGUGGCGUCGUGCCCGGCACGGAAUGCGUGGAGGUUUGCUGCACUAGCACUACUGAAGUGAUGAGGGAGAAGUGGAGACGACAUGGCAAACACGCUGUGUUGUGUUGGUCAUUCAAGUUCCCCUUCUGUCGGAGUAGUACUAUAGGAUCUCCUUUCGCCUUGCAUAUGCCGUCACCGCCGUUUAUGUGUUGUGCAUGUCUUGUGUCUGUGUUGGGCUUGUUGUACUGUGCCCACAGUUGAACCUUGUGUAGUGUUUGUGUGCCUGUGUGUUGGACCUUGCCUGCGGUGGCGUUGUGUAUGUGUUGUUUGGAUGGUACCAUAUUGACUUUAUACUCGGUGGUUACUGUGUAUGUGUUGUUUGGAUGGUACCAUAUUGACUUUAUACUCGGUGGUUACUUUAUUUAUAAAACGGGCGAAAGCCUUUUUUGAUAUAUGCCA